UACGCAGGUGGCAAGCGUUGUCCGGAUUUACUGGGCGUAAAGGGCGUGCAGGCGGUCUGUUAAGUCUAGGGUGAAAGCUCCCGGCUCAACUGGGAGAGGUCCUUGGAUACUGGCGGACUUGAGGGAGGCAGAGGAGAAUAGAAUUCCCGGUGUAGUGGUGAUAUGCGUAGAUAUCGGGAGGAAUACCAGUGGCGAAGGCGGUUCUCUGGGCCUUACCUGACGCUGAGACGCGAAAGCGUGGGGAGCGAACCGG
rnacentral:rRNA from 1 species